CCCCGCCCCGACUCCCUCGGCGAAGAAGCCCCCGCGGCCGGCCGAUCUCCGUGGACUCCGCAGGAGCGGCCCCGCCCCUCACACUAUGCCGGGCGGUUCCCUCUGAGCCCCGCCGGGACAGCGUCUACGCUGCACACACCACAGAGAAGCCAGAGAACGGUGCCUGCACCGGACACAGCACAACACCAGCACAGGACAGCGUCCACACCACACACACCACAAGUGAGCCUAGGGAGCUGUGUCUACACUGCAGACGUCGGCCUGAGCACACACGUCUUCGUGCAGGCCCAGCAGAGGGGGAAAAACACCUCCCCGAGGGUGGAAGAGUUGUGGCCAGCAGACAGAUGGACGGACAGACGGACACAGGCGAACAGGCAGCCCAGGGGUGAGCUGAGCCGGUCAAAUGGGCCAGGACCCGGCUCCGUGUGUCCUUCACAGUCAGGAUGACAGAACCCCAUGGAAUAUGAAAAAUGCCGGGAGACAGACCCCGGAGGCACAGCCCCUCACCGGGCAGGGAGGCCGCCAGAGGGAAGCGCAGCUCCAGGUUGUCAGCCGGGUCCCCUCUCGGCUCCUGAAGGCUGCCGGCAUCUUCCUCUCAAGGGCCCUUCCCAUCUUCCAACCGGAAACAGCAUGGCCGGUUCUCCUGGCUCUGAGGCGCUAAUCACCAGAGCCCCAUCUGAUUAAGGCAUCGAGAUCAAAGCUCAGCAGAGGGCGGCUCAUGAUGGGCAGCUCAAAAAAAUAAACCCACCAAUCAGAGUCCGUGUUCCUGUGACCGGUGGCGGGUUCGGAUGCAGAGGAGGCUUCUCAGUGCCGUUCCUCAUCUCGGAACCUGCCACCCCACUCAAGCCCGACAUAGGCCGGGACAGCCGGGACGGCCGCAGCGAGGGCAACACGAGGCACAUCGACAUCCUGAGGCCCCCGGGCCUGUCGCCGAGUCCCGGCUUGGGGAGUGUCCCCGGGCCACACUGGUCCUGCUUCCAGCUGUGUGGUCUCCCAGGCGCGUGGCUCCUCCCUCCGGGGCCCAGGCUCUGGUGUGAGCCACUUUUUCCGUAGGAGACGCCCGUGCUUGCAGCUCACGCCUUUGUCUGGUGCCCUGGCCUCACACCUAUAGGAAUUGGGUACCUGGGGGCCUCUUCAUCUUUACUUGUCUCAGCUUAGAGAAGCCCAGCUACACUUCCUCCAUGCCUGGAUUCAUGCACGGCCCCACAGGGUGAGGCCUGGACACCCUCACGGGCACUGGGGCUCCACGGAUGCAGAAGGCAGCCUGGCCCGGUAGCUCGGGGGUCUGAGAUGGAGGUGGAGUAAGACAGAGCGACAAAGGCUGCGUCCUGGAGGCAGGCUCGGAGCCUCCCUGAGGUCACAGAGCCCGCGUGCGCCAGGAAGCCACACCUGCAGGACCCAAGUCAGAACUCAGAGGCUGGUACA
rnacentral:lncRNA from 1 species